rnacentral:rRNA from 1 species
GGGACGUAAAGCGCAUGCAGGCGGCCUAGUUAAGUCAGAUGUAGAAACGGCCCGGGGACUUAACCUACGGUAAUUGCUAUUUAGAAACUGGCAGGCUAGAGUUCUUGUAGAGGGGGUAGAAUUUCAGGUGUAGCGGUGAAAAUGCGUAGAGAUCUGAAGGAAUACCAGUGGCGAAGGCGGCCCCCUGGACAAAGACUGACGCUCAGAUGCGAAAGCGUGGGGAGCAAACAGGAUUAGAUACCCUGGUAG